AUGACUGGUGACAAGAAUCUAUUGAUGGAUGCUCCCUUAUCUCCAUCGCAUCUGAAGCAUAUCAUCUUCGCUGACAAAGGCAAAAGUCAGGUAUUGGGUCUAGGUAAGGUUGCGAUCUCAAAGGAUCGACACAUGGACAAAGUCAUGCUUGUCGAGUCCUUAAGAUACAACCUCAUGUCUGUCUCAAUGCUUUGUGAUCUUGGUAUGGUUGUUGUAUUUGGCAAGUAUCGUUGUGUUGUGAUCAUGGAAGCUGACAAUUCCAAAGUCUUCGAAGGCUUUAGGAGAGGAGACUUGUAUACUAUUGAUUUCUCUACAGGACCACAACCAGCCGUAUGCCUACUUGCAAAAGCUUCAGAAGUCUGGCUAUGGCAUCGACGACUUGGUCAUGCAGGCAUGAGGAAUUUGCACACGCUUGCGAAGAAGAAGCAUGUCAUUGGCAUUGAGAAUGUCAAAUUCCUCAAAGAUCACUUAUGCGGAGCCUAUGAAGCUGGAAAGAUGACCAUGGCCAAACAUCCAGCGAAGACAAUCAUGACUACCACUCGACCAUUUGAAUUGCUUCAUAUGGAUCUCUUUGGUCCUAACCAUUAUUCUGCAGUUACAAAUGAUGCAUCUCUAUAUGGCUUUGUUAUUGUUGAUGAUUACUCUCGUUACACAUAG
rnacentral:rRNA from 1 species